UAGUAAGAAGCGAAUAAAUUUUGCAAUCAAUUUCGACUUGAAUCUAGUUUAAUAACCUUACUUU
rnacentral:tRNA from 1 species